rnacentral:lncRNA from 1 species
UUUUGGAAAAGAAGUUCCUUAGUGAAGGAAUAAGUGCCUCUAAAGUUGAGUUUGAUGAAAUUCGACAGAUAGAAGAACCGACACCAAUGACUGAAUCUGAAUCGAAUUUGAUAAGAUCAAACCCGGAGCCUAAUAUACAAACAUCCUUAAGAUGAUCUGGUAGAGUACCACAUCAGUCGGAUAGAUACCUAGGUUUCUUGAUCCAAGAUGGAGAUCCUG